rnacentral:SRP_RNA from 1 species
GCUGGGCAUGGUGGCACAUGCCUGUAAUCCCAGCUACUCAUGAGGCUGAGGCAGGAGAAUUGCUUGAACCUGGGAGGCUGAGGUUGCAGUGAGCCGAGAUGGUGCCACUGCACUCCAGCCUGGCGACAGUGCGAUUGAGACAGAGUCUCGCUGGAGUGCAGUGGCACCAUCUCGGCUCACUGCAACCUCAGCCUCCCAGGUUCAAGCAAUUCUCCUGCCUCAG